UACGUAGGAGGCGAGCGUUGUCCGGAAUCACUGGGCGUAAAGCGCGUGUAGGCGGUGGGGGAAGUCUGCUGUGAAAGCGCCUGGCUCAACCGGGCGAGGUCGGCGGAAACUCUCUCACUGGAGGCCGGUAGAGGGGGGUGGAAUUCCCGGUGUAGUGGUGAAAUGCGUAGAGAUCGGGAGGAACACCCGUGGCGCAGGCGGCCCCGGCCGGGCCUGACCGCUGGACGGCAGCGCCGGAAAAGCGUCGGGGGCGAAACGGGAAUUAGGAAA
rnacentral:rRNA from 1 species